rnacentral:lncRNA from 1 species
AGUUACACAAUCAAUUACUUCCUGAAUGUAUCGUCUCUAUUUCCAAUAUCUGAAAACAUAAGAAAACUAUAAUCUCCUCCUUCAUCUUAUUAGUCUCUUCCUUACAAUAAUUCAGUCAUACCAAUAACUACUAUUUCCACCAAUAUAUUCACCCUCAUAAUCUCCAACUGUAAUAUUACGCCCUCAGAGCUUUCACCACACAAUUAUCCUCAUUCCAAUCACUGGAAUUCUUCACAUAGAACUGCCAUUCACAUUACGGUGUUUCACACAAAUAAAGACUCGUUCUCUCUACUGAACUACAAUCAGAUUUUAGCAUUCAAUCUUUCUUCUUCUCAAAUAAUACCAAUCACAUUUCCAUUCCAUAAUUCACUUCACAAUAUUCAGAAACUCUCAAUCAUCUUAUUCAAAGAAAAUAACAAACAAAAGAAAAGAAGUAGCAUCAAGCUUAUCCCGGCUCACAACUAUCACAGUGAUGGCAUUUUCUUCCCCUCUUCCAUCCUCCUUAUACUACCUUGAGAUACCAACUCCUAUACUACAGAUGAUAACUACUUUUCUUGACUAUUCAUCUAUUCUACCUAUUGAACCACCUUUUCAGUAGUUAUCUAUUCCUGUUUACACUAUAUACUAGGUAUCUUCAUUAUGUAAAAUAACUACUUAUUCUACAUAGCCCCACUCCUAACUAUGCAGCGUCU